rnacentral:ribozyme from 12 species
CAAACUCUGAAUGGAGUAAGUAUACAAAACAACAAAACACUUGAGAAAUGAAUUCGCCAUUGGUUAGUUGUUUGUAUUGAUUUUGUUCUUUGUUGAUCUAUGUCCUCUCUCUU